UGAUAUAGCUCAGUUGGUAGAGCAGCUCAUUCGUAAUGAGCAGGUCGUAGGUUCGAAUCCUAUUAUCA
rnacentral:tRNA from 1 species